rnacentral:rRNA from 1 species
GAUGAACGCUAGCGAUAGGCUUAACACAUGCAAGUCGAGGGGCAGCACAAGGUAGCUUGCUAUCUGGGUGGCGACCGGCGCACGGGUGCGUAACGCGUAUGCAACUUGCCCUAUACAGGAGGAUAACCCGUCGAAAGACGGACUAAUACUGCGUAUGCUCACAACUUGGCAUCAAGUGGUGAGGAAAGAAAUUCGGUAUAGGAUAGGCAUGCGUCCCAUUAGCUUGUUGGUGAGGUAACGGCUCACCAAGGCAACGAUGGGUAGGGGAACUGAGAGGUUUACCCCCCACACUGGUACUGCGACACGGACCAGAAUCCUACGGGAGGCAGCAGUGAGGAAUAUUGGUCAAUGGGCGCGAGCCCGAACCAGCCAAGUCGCGUGAAGGAUGACUGUCUUAUGGAUUGUAAACUUCUUUUAUACGGGAAUAACAAGAGUCACGUGUGACUCCCUGAAUGUACCGUAUGAAUAAGCACCGGCUAACUUCGUG